AACGAACGCUGGCGGCAGGCUUAAUACAUGCAAGUCGAACGCCCCUUUCGGGGGAGUGGCAGACGGGUGAGUAACGCGUGGGAACGUGCCCAAAGGUAGGGAACAACUCCGGGAAACUGGAGCUAAUACCCUAUGUGCCCGAGAGGGGAAAGAUUUAUCGCCUUUGGAUCGGCCCGCGUUGGAUUAGCUAGUUGGUGGGGUAAAAGCCUACCAAGGCGACGAUCCAUAGCUGUUCUGAGAGGAAGAUCAGCCACACUGGGACUGAGACACGGCCCAGACUCCUACGGGAGGCAGCAGUAGGGAAUCUUGGACAAUGGGCGCAAGCCUGAUCCAGCCAUGCCGCGUGAGUGAUGAAGGCCUUAGGGUUGUAAAACUCUUUCGCAGGUGACGAUAAUGACGGUAACCUGAGAAGAAGCCCCGGCUAACUUCGUGCCAGCAGCCGCCGCAG
rnacentral:rRNA from 1 species